CUUCUAUCAACCUGUUUUUAUUUUGUGGUUGAAUUAUGGUUAAUUUAGACAUUUGUGACAAUUUCAAAACUGCAGCCAAACUACAUGUGUGAUUAAUUAGUAGUUCUUGCCAAGCAUAAGAAAUUUGGUGCAGCACAUGCAUAGGUAUUGCACAUAAAGAAGUAAGUUACAAAUGUAAAUUAAAAUAUAUUAGGAUUUGUAUCAUUAGUCAUAUCAACUAAUAUUGACACCAGACCAUUGGACAUAGGGACAUCAUAUUGCAAAAAGCAGAACACACAUUAACUGUUAUCACCACAUUCGUUUGAA